GCGCAGCUCCUUCUCAGAACGGCCCACCUUGGGGAUAAACUUAAGUGCCACGACCUACAACGGACCAAAACAAAAUGGAUGCGCAAUGAAAGGGAGCACUACAAGCUAUAAAUGACAGACAACGCUGAUGUUAACGUACAGCAGAAAGCUGGUAGACCCUGCCAGCCCUAAACCUCAGGUUGAUCUCCAGAUGGGGCACAGAACAGAGUGCGCCCAGCCAGCCACCAUCUCCCCGCCACCCUCCAGAAACUCUGUAUUGAAACAUGACUCAUGCUUGACAUUUGCCAUUUAUAAUAACAGUUGUCCAAAGUUGACCCAUAAUAACCUGUGCUACUUAGGUCAGGGCAUCCACUGUAUUGUAGAGGUCGAUUCAGUAGGGUUUGAGUACACAGAGGUAUCAUAUUGAGUGACAUUUGUAUUAAGCGAUAUGUAAGUGGGAUCCACAGGGUCUGAGUAUUCUUGUAGUGAGGAGGGGAGAUGAUGGGUGUCCAAAGGAUUAAUUUUCUCUGGUGUGCAGGCCGGAGUCCAAGUCUCUAAUGAGGACCAGGAGGCCUGCAACAAAACAUGAAAAGAUGAUGUUCAAGAGAAUAUGCAUCCAAUUCUACCCUUUUCAUGCACAAGACACGGUCAAUUGCGAAAAUGAAUCAAUUACAAAAAGGGCCGCAUCAGAAGCCUCUGUACCUUUUUAGACUGUAGAAUUCUGCUCCUCAUAGAAUGUUCGGGAUUGUAUCCACGACAACAAUAAACCUUACAUAUUGA